rnacentral:lncRNA from 1 species
CUGGAGGCGGCGCUCGAGAAAGUUCUCCACCGUAAGGGCCAACACGUAAUCCAGCUUGUUCUGGCUCUCCUCCAAAAGCCCAUACCUAUUCAUCCUCCUCAAAAGCGCCUCACCCUCAAAGAUGCGGCGAGAGUUCUUCUCAUCAAGGGUUAGAAGCAUUCUGGCAGCAUUACGAAUGCGACUCAAUGCAUACUGGACCCUCCAGAGUUCCCUCUUGGCACGGAGCCCGUACUCUCCGACGAGCUUCAGCUCAGCAUCCAAACGUUCCUUCUCAUAGGGACGCCUGGGUUUCUUAAAAGUUUUCCCGUCUAUAGAAAAAAAAAACAAAGAACACCAAGUUCACUAUUAUUAUUCGACUCAUCAAACCAAAAUCAAUAUGCAGAGCCCAAAUGAUAAGCACUAUGGGGUACAGAAAAUUGAAAGCUAAAUUUCAAAACUCUCAGUAAAACAAUACGCAUCAGAUUUUCCGUCUUUCAUCACUUCAUAAUUUGCAAACAGCAGAAGAUAGAAAAAUAAGCUAAAAUAAGUUGAAACUCGACAGAAACACCUCAUAAGAUUAAGAAAUUGGACUGAAAAUUAAAAGAAAGAUAGAUCGGUAGCUUACAGUUACGAUAGAAGGAGACGUGCACCAUGCUUGUAGACUGCCGCCUGCGAACUUAGGGUUUAGGGUGGCGAUUGACAAGGAUAGAACAUGUAUUUAUAUCCCCAUAUACCCUAACUUAUUUGGGCUGGUGUUAUAACCAAUUGGGCUAAAGCCUCAAACCUCUUUCUUUUGCUUUUGUUUUACUGUUUUUUCUCAGUAUUUACUGGACCGCUUCAAGCUAGCUAGCUUUAACUAAGUUAAAUUUUUUUCUAAAUAAAAUAAAAAUGAUAAUAGUGAUUUUAAAGGGGUCAAAAAAAUAGGGUUCGGAUAAGAUAAUUGUUUCAGUUCCAUAAGUCUAAUUAAUUUAAUAAUAUAAUUAUAAAAAAAUAAAUACAUUUUAAUAUUAUGAAAAAUGUCCUCUGAAUAAUCUAAAAGGUCAUAAUAAUAUUAUUUGAUAAAAAAAUAAAAAUGAAAUGAGAACGGAAUAACCUUAGAAAAAAAAAGAAUAAAAAAGGUCUUAAUUAUUAAUAAAUUAAAUGUUAAAGGAUGAAUUGAAGAGAAAAAUCAAUUGUAAAAAAGGAUAAAAAUAUAUGACUCAAGUCAGCAUGCUGAAUUCGUGGUUUAAUUGUGAGGUUAAGACAACCUUGCACAAAAAAAAUUGAAUAAAACAAUGAAAGGCGAAACUGAAAAAAAAAUUAAAAAAAACAUGAGUUAACUCGAGUUAACUUAAUUAACCCAUGACUUAGAAUAUGAGAUCGAAAUAACUCUAUAGGAAAAAAAAAGUGAAAAAAAUCACGAAGCUAAAGGUCCAAUAACAUAAUGUUAAAUGAUGAAAAUAAAAAAAACUAUUUUUUUAUAAAAAAAAACCUAAAAAGGACUGAAGUCAAAUCAAAUUAAUCUUCAAAACCUAUAACUCGGGUCAUGAGACUAGGUUACCCCAUAGAAUGCAAAACCAAAAAAAAUCACAAAGCACAAUUUCCAGUCAUCUAACAAAAUAGAUAGCAAUCGAAAUAAUAAGGAUCAAAUUUGGUAUAAAAAUUAAAUUAAAUAAAAGAAUGAGGGAUGAAAUUAAAAAAUAAAAUAAAUCAAGAAAAGGAUACAAAAAAAUGAAAUUAAGAGAAUGAAGACCAAAAUUGGUAUAAAUUAAAUGAAAUAAAGUAAUGAGGGAUUGGACCAAAUCCGGUAUAAAUUUAAAUGAAACAAAGUAAUGAGGGAUGAACUUGAGAAAUAAAAUAAAUCAAGAUAAGGAUAGAAAACCAAGAAAUAACAAUCGAGAUAAUGAAGACCAAAUAUGAUAUAUGGAAAAAUUAAAAGAGAAUAAAAUUGAAAAAUAAAUUUAAUUUUAUAAAUUAUUUUAAAUAAAAUCAAUAGUAAUCAAAAUAAUAAGGAUAAGAUUUGAAUGAAAAAAUUAAAGAGUUGUUUGAGAAAUUACAGGAGUGGACAUGAAAAUCGGCAGGGAGAGAAAAAGAAAAGGAAAAAAGAUCAUCGACGUUAAUUUUAUGGUUCGUUGAUUACACGUGUUGUUCUAAAAUAGAGAGGUUAUCGAUAAAAUUCGAACAUUGGCCUAGAAUCAACUAUUUGGCUUCUGGACUAGCCCUUACAUGUCCACUUUGAAAACAAUAUCUACCACUUUUAAACAAGCACUUAGUUAUCUGACUAAAAGUUGGUUUUCAUGCAGCUGAAGCAGAGAGUGAGGAAGCGACAAGAAGGUUUGAGACAAUUGUGAGACUGAUGAACGAAGAAAUUGUGCGCUUUCAAGAACAGAAAACAUUGGAUAUGGGGAUUGCUUUCCAUGAAUUUGCAAAAGGACAGGCACGUUUGGCAAAUAGCAUUGCAGAUGCUUGGAGAAGUCUUCUUCCAAAACUCGAAGCAUGUUCCUCGUAAUGAGAGUAUUUUUCUUCCUUCUUAGGAAUGAUGGGCCCAGCUCUUGCUUUGUAAAAACCAUAGGGUUUGGGAAGUUCUGCUAUUCUGGUGUUGUACAAUUUGACUCCUUUGCAAAUUUUUGUUUCUUGUACAAAUUUGAAGCCUUGUGAAGAACAACAAGAGCGAAACACGAAAAAUGUUCGUCUGUCUCAUACUUUAGAUCCUCUCUUCCAUUAAGAUCUUCACAUCUCCAAAAUAUUUUUACAUUAUUAUGCAAAUCAAUCAUAUUUUUUGUUUGCGGUGGUUUUUCCAAAGAACCGUAUUAGACUGUUGUCCUAGUUUUGGAUGUUCCCACCUGCACGAGAUUGGACAGAAAGGAUUAAGAAAGAAAGACGGGUGUUUAUGUUCAAAGAUGUUAUUUAGUGAUUUCCAGGCAUGAUUUCGGCAGAUUGAUUCCCCGAUGAUCUGGAGGCGGGAAUUCUCCUGCUGCCUGGAUAAACUCUGAUUUUUCUUUAAAAAAGAAAUAAAGAUCAUGCAAUUACAAGUCAUCCUGUAUCAUUCCAGUGUUCUGAUCAUGUUCAUGCAUUCGCCAUCUUCAAAUGUGAAGCUUUUUUGUAAGUUGGAGUGAGAUCUCCAUCAACAUUCGAAUUUUCAACUUCCAAACAAAGGGGAAGAUAAAAUACUACAGAUUUGGUUCAAGCGUAAAACAAGGGCUAGCUAUAUUUAUCAAGAAAACAAUAAAUUCCAAAGGCAAUGACAAAGACAAGGACAAAGGUAAUCUCAAAAUGGUAAGACCCUAAUAACUUAAAGAUCCGCGCAUAAACCUCUUUUAUCUUAGGAUACCAAAGAGAUUGAAAGUCUUCAAACAAACUUUAUAAGAUUAACAAGAAAUUCACUGUCAAAGAACAUGACAGCUCACUCUUCAUCUUCUUCAUCUCCAUCUCCACCAGAUGCUUUCUUGGCAGCAGACUUCUGGUUCUUUCGCUUCACUCUACCAGGGCGUCCACCACCAAAGGGACUUGUGAGAGAGAAAUCAAUGUGCUUCUGCGAGUCCACCCUCACCAUGAAAGAUGGAAUAUUGACCACCUGCCUCCCAACCCUGUAGGACCAAGGGAAAUAUCAAUGAAAAAAUCCAGAAUCCGACUGUAGCAUGCCAAAACACAAAAUGUGAAGGCAGAUCAGGUCAAAAUAGUUUAUAGAUAUAAAUUGAAAGUUUUGAUAAGCAAAUCUCAAGCUCUGAAAUCACAGGACCUUAGAUGUAUGCGAAUUCCGCAGAAAAGAAGCCAAAACCAUUAUAACCAGAAAAAACAAGAAGAUGAAAAGAAAAUACUGUUCGAAAAAUAGGAGAUGCAAACAAUUGCAUUGAUUAUCUAACCCAAAUACAUCAGCUCAAUCAACAUAAGAAUUAGAAUUAUUAUACUUACCUAAUGUGCUUCUGUUUAAUGAGAACUCGGGCAUGGUGGAUCGACUUCGCCAUACCAGCCUUGAAAACAAGUGUCUGGAGGCGGCGCUCGAGAAAGUUCUCCACCGUAAGGGCCAACACGUAAUCCAGCUUGUUCUGGCUCUCCUCCAAAAGCCCAUACCUAUUCAUCCUCCUCAAAAGCGCCUCACCCUCAAAGAUACGCCGUGAGUUCUUCUCAUCAAGGGUUAGAAGCAUUCUGGCAGCAUUACGAAUGCGACUCAAUGCAUACUGGACCCUCCAGAGUUCCCUCUUGGCACGGAGCCCGUACUCUCCGACGAGCUUCAGCUCAGCAUCCAAACGUUCCUUCUCAUAGGGACGCCUGGGUUUCUUAA